rnacentral:rRNA from 1 species
CACAAUGGGCGAAAGCCUGAUGCAGCAACGCCGCGUGAGGGACGACGGCCUUCGGGUUGUAAACCUCUUUCAGUAGGGAAGAAGCGAAAGUGACGGUACCUGCAGAAGAAGCACCGGCUAACUACGUGCCAGCAGCCGCGGUAAUACGUAGGGUGCAAGCGUUAAUCGGAAUUACUGGGCGUAAAGCGAGUGUAGGUGGCUCAUUAAGUCACAUGUGAAAUCCCCGGGCUUAACCUGGGAACUGCAUGUGAUACUGGUGGUGCUAGAAUAUGUGAGAGGGAAGUAGAAUUCCAGGUGUAGCGGUGAAAUGCGUAGAGAUCUGGAGGAAUACCGAUGGCGAAGGCAGCUUCCUGGCAUAAUAUUGACACUGAGAUUCGAAAGCGUGGGUAGCAAACAGGAUUAGAUACCCUGGUAGUCCACGCCCUAAACGAUGCGAACUGGAUGUUGGGUUCAACUUGGAACCCAGUAUCGAAGCUAACGCGUUAAGUUCGCCGCCUGGGGAGUACGGUCGCAAGACUGAAACUCAAAGGAAUUGACGGGGGCCCGCACAAGCGGUGGAGUAUGUGGUUUAAUUCGAAGCUACGCGAAGAACCUUACCAGGUCUUGACAUCCAAGGAACCUUCCGGAAAUGGAAGGGUGCCCCUCGGGGAACCUUGAGACAGGUGCUGCAUGGCUGUCGUCAGCUCGUGUCGUGAGAUGUUCGGUUAAGUCCGGCAACGAGCGCAACCCACACUUUCAGUUGCCAGCAUUCAGUUGGGCACUCUGGAAGAACUGCCGAUGAUAAGUCGGAGGAAGGUGUGGAUGACGUCAAGUCCUCAUGGCCCUUACGGGUUGGGCUACACACGUGCUACAAUGGUGGUGACAGUGGG